GACGAACGCUGGCGGCGCGCCUAACACAUGCAAGUCGAGCGACGAAAUUUUGACAGAUCCCUUUGCGGUGACGAUGAAGUGGAUUAGCGGCGGACGGGUGAGUAACAUGCGAGUAACCUGCCUUUGACAUUGGGAUACCUUCGGGAAUAUGGGAUUCAUACCAAAUGACACUAACUGAUCACAUGAUCAAUUAGUCAAAGAAAUUCGGUCAAAGAUGGACUCGCGGUUGAUUAGCUAGUUGGUGAGGUAACGGCCCACCAAGGCGACGAGCGGUAGCCGGCCUGAGAGGGUGAUCGGCCACAUUGGAACUGAGACACGGUCCAAACUCCUACGGGAGGCAGCAGUGGGGAAUAUUGCACAAUGGGGGAAACCCUGAUGCAGCGACGCCGCGUGAGCGAAGAAGGCCUUCGGGUCGUAAAGCUCUUUUAUGAGGGAAGAUAAUGACGGUACCUCAAGAAGAAGCCCCGGCUAACUACGUG
rnacentral:rRNA from 1 species